rfam:Mesocricetus auratus contig059643, whole genome shotgun sequence.
GGACGGGAGGGUGGCCUAGUUGCUACAUCUGUGCCCCUAUUGUCAGAACUGAUCUGGCUGACCUGGCUGGUUAUGUGACUAUCCCCUUCCUCCCUCACCGCUCUGUGUGUCCUUCCCAAAGUUCUGUGCUUAUUAGAAGAGACUGUCUUUUCCUGAUAGAAGAGGACUGUUCUUUGAUCAAGGGUCUAUGAGUAGCCACACUCCCCUGAUAGACCCUCCAAAUGAGCCCCAGAAAACCCCACAGCAAACAACAGACUUAACAGAAAUACUAAAUGUUUUGUCCCUAUAAUAAGACCAAGAAAGGACAAACCCUCUUCUU